GGGAAUCUACCCAUCUCUACGGAACAACUCCGGGAAACUGGAGCUAAUACCGUAUACGCCCUUUGGGGGAAAGAUUUAUCGGAGAUGGAUGAGCCCGCGUUGGAUUAGCUAGUUGGUGGGGUAAAGGCCUACCAAGGCGACGAUCCAUAGCUGGUCUGAGAGGAUGAUCAGCCACACUGGGACUGAGACACGGCCCAGACUCCUACGGGAGGCAGCAGUGGGGAAUAUUGGACAAUGGGCGCAAGCCUGAUCCAGCCAUGCCGCGUGAGUGAUGAAGGCCCUAGGGUUGUAAAGCUCUUUCACCGGUGAAGAUAAUGACGGUAACCGGAGAAGAAGCCCCGGCUAACUUCGUGCCAGCAGCCGCGGUAAUACGAAGGGGGCUAGCGUUGUUCGGAAUUACUGGGCGUAAAGCGCACGUAGGCGGAUUGUUAAGUGAGGGGUGAAAUCCCAGGGCUCAACCCUGGAACUGCCUCUCAUACUGGCAAUCUCGAGUUCGAGAGAGGUGAGUGGAAUUGCGAGU
rnacentral:rRNA from 1 species